rnacentral:lncRNA from 1 species
UUCUGGGUAAUUAUCAUAAUUAUUCUUGACUCUGGGACUCCUUUGAUGACAACGUUGCUUUAAAGUAAACCACUUGGACAUAAAACCCAAGAUAUUUGAAAAGAGACUGCUGCCAGAAUCAGAGUUGAAAACUCACCCAUAUUUUAAAGCUAUCUUGAUUAUCAGGCUGUUUGCGUUCCUGGGCUGUCUUUUCUGCCAUCUGUGAGCGCCACAGCAAACAACCCCUUUAUGACAAUCACCUCAGUAUAACUUGAAUAUGUCUGCUUUAGAGGAGACUUCUGUAAUAAGACUCUGUGCUAAUUAACUGUCAGCCUUUUUAAAAAAAUAAAUAAAUAAAUCAGCAGACUGCAUUUUAGAAAGACACUCCACCAAAAAAUUCCCAAACAAGAUUUAAGUUUAUGUGCCAGACUGUAACUUCUACUCCAUGUUUUUUCAGGCCUUCCUCUGAGUAAAUCUGUUUACUUUAAAUACUUCUCAUGUGAUAAAGGUUUUCAUUUUUCUUGCCAGUUGACUACAGGUAGUAACAUUUGCUCCUCCUUCUAAACAGCUACUUGAUUCAGUAACGUUAUCCUCCAAAAAUAAAAGAAGACAAAAAAGAAAGGAAAAGGAAGGAAAGGAAAAGAAGGAAGAAAGAAAGAAAAGGAGGGAGGAAAGGAUGAAAAAGAGAGAGAAAAGAGUCAGGUGUAAAAAAAACUUUUUUUUUUUUUUUUUGGCCAGAAAUGGUAGUUACAUGGCAAAAAAAAAAAAAAAAAAAAAAAAAAAAGAAAAAAGAAAAAGUAAAUUAGGGUUGUUGCUAUUGAAAACAAUAAUAGUUAAAAGGGCCAGACACUAAAAUUAUUAGUUUAAUAUUAAGGAUAAAUAAUUUCUAGUUCAAGAGAAAGAAUUAUUUGUAGAAACAGCAUUAUAUUCACUGAAAAUGACUUUUUAAACAGUCUCUAGAAACCAUAAUUGUCUUGGAAGAAUAUAGGAAUCAAGGCUUAUACAAAACAGACACAGACACUUAAAAAUUCAUCUUGGUGAACUCUUUCCUACAUACUGGAUAAAACCAGUAGUAACCACUUGAAAAUAAAGCAUUAACAAUAAUAUUCCUCUAAAAAUAUAAAACAUAAGAAUGAAUGCAAAAGUUUUUAUUUUCUUGUUAAAAUCCACCUUGAAUAAUGAUUCUCCAAAAUAUACACAAGA